rnacentral:rRNA from 1 species
AUGCAAGUCGAGGGGAAACGACAUCGAAAGCUUGCUUUUGAUGGGCGUCGACCGGCGCACGGGUGAGUAACGCGUAUCCAACCUGCCCAUCACUUGGGGAUAACCUUGCGAAAGUAAGACUAAUACCCAAUGACGUCUCUAGAAGACACCUGAAAGAGAUUAAAGAUUUAUCGGUGAUGGAUGGGGAUGCGUCUGAUUAGCUUGUUGGCGGGGUAACGGCCCACCAAGGCGACGAUCAGUAGGGGUUCUGAGAGGAAGGUCCCCCACAUUGGAACUGAGACACGGUCCAAACUCCUACGGGAGGCAGCAGUGAGGAAUAUUGGUCAAUGGACGAGAGUCUGAACCAGCCAAGUAGCGUGCAGGAUGACGGCCCUAUGGGUUGUAAACUGCUUUUAUAAGGGAAUAAAGUUAGUCUCGUGAGACUUUUUGCAUGUACCUUAUGAAUAAGGACCGGCUAAUUCCGUGCCAGCAGCCGCGGUAAUACGGAAGGUCCGGGCGUUAUCCGGAUUUAUUGGGUUUAAAGGGAGCGCAGGCCGGAGAUUAAGCGUGUUGUGAAAUGUAGACGCUCAACGUCUGCACUGCAGCGCGAACUGGUUUCCUUGAGUACGCACAAAGUGGGCGGAAUUCGUGGUGUAGCGGUGAAAUGCUUAGAUAUCACGAAGAACUCCGAUUGCGAAGGCAGCUCACUGGAGCGCAACUGACGCUGAAGCUCGAAAGUGCGGGU